UUGGAGGGCAAGUCUGGUGCCAGCAGCCGCGGUAAUUCCAGCUCCAAUAGCGUAUAUUAAAGUUGUUGCAGUUAAAAAGCUCGUAGUUGAACCUUGGGCCUGGCUGGCCGGUCCGCCUCACCGCGUGUACUGGUCCGGCCGGGCCUUUCCUUCUGGGGAACCUCAUGCCCUUCACUGGGCGUGUUGGGGAACCAGGACUUUUACUUUGAAAAAAUUAGAGUGUUUAAAGCAGGC
rnacentral:rRNA from 1 species